AAGAGACAGCAGCCGCCGCGGGAAUACGAAGGGUGCAAGCGUUACUCGGAAUUACUGGGCGUAAAGCGUGCGUAGGUGGUGGUUUAAGUCCGUUGUGAAAGCCCUGGGCUCAACCUGGGAAUUGCAGUGGAUACUGGGUCACUAGAGUGUGGUAGAGGAUAGUGGAAUUUCCGGUGUAGCAGUGAAAUGCGUAGAGAUCGGAAGGAACAUCUGUGGCGAAGGCGACUAUCUGGGCCAACACUGACACUGAGGCACGAAAGCGUGGGGAGCAAACAGGAUUAGAUACCCCUGUAGUCCCUGUCUCUUAUAA
rnacentral:rRNA from 1 species